GAAGGGCAAAGCAGAUAAAAACAAAAGAGGAAAUGAAAAGCACCACUGCAAUGAAAGGCAUCUUGACAUUGCCCAGAAACUUGAUCUUCAUAGGACUCAACGGGCUCCAUUUCUCCAUAAUGAAGCACUCUGGAAAAGCUCAGAAGCCAGCCCUCAACACCUCAGCUGGAGGUACCUGAGUGGAAGAGGAGAGGGUCAGAGGACAAGAUGGUGAUGUUCAUUCAAAGACUCAGGCUCUGCCUCUACUGAUCCAGGUAGCUGCAAGAAUAAAGGAAACAGGGGGCACACAAUUUUAUGAUACAUCUUUCUCCACCAUCCUGUUUUUUCAUUACUGGCCUUCUUUCCAUCUGUAAAAUAUGCCACCAACUUCUUUUCUCUCUCUGGACCUUGUAUUUGUUAAUAAAGAUCUUCCCUGACAAA